UUAGGAAUAUUCCACAAUGGGGGCAACCCUGAUGGAGCAACGCCGCGUGGAGGAUGAAGGCCUUCGGGUUGUAAACUUCUUUUCUCUGUGAAGAAUAUGACGGUAACAGAGGAAUAAGGGUCUGCUAACUACGUGCCAGCAGCCGCGGUCAUACGUAGGACCCAAGCGUUAUCCGGAUUGACUGGGCGUAAAGAGUUGCGUAGGUGGUUUGAUAAGCGAAUAGUGAAAUCUUGUGGCUCAACCAUAAGGCUAUUAUUCGAACUGUCAAACUCGAGAAUGGGAGAGGCAUCUGGAAUUUCUAAUGUAGGGGUAAUAUCCGUAGAUAUUAGGAGGAACACCGAUGGCGUAAGCAGGAUGCUGGACCAUUUCUGACACUAAGGCACGAAAGCGUGGGGAGCGAAC
rnacentral:rRNA from 1 species